rnacentral:rRNA from 1 species
AUGGCCGACGCCGCAGACGGCGGCAACGACUUGGAGCUCGUGUCGCUCACCGCGUCCGCCUACGCCGCCGCUCCAGGCCCAAUCUCGCCGCCGCCGCUGCUUCAGGCUGACCCUCCUGCUGCUGCUGCAACCUUCAUGUCCCAGCACUUCAAUCUGCCGGCGGAGGAAGCGCCUGCCGAUCUUCUUGACGGUGGGCGCCAGGAGUUAGAAUCCACCACCCCUGCCAUGCCGCCACCGGAUGGUGGUCUCGGCAUCCCCUGCGCAGAGAAGAACAACAACUGCUGCGAGACGGAGACGGAGGCGCUGGACUGUGACCAGCCGGGACGUUCGUCAGAUUCAGUUAUCCUCUGGGUCGACAUGGAGCGCAAGAUUAGUCCGUCACCGUCAGCCACCUUGGAUGACGCAGGUUCAGAUCGUAGCCGCAGCGCGUCUCCUCCUCACAGCCAUGUUUCUGCUGCUGCCACGGAUGAUGGCAUUGCUCUCGGCUCCACUGCAGCUUGCCUGCCUGCUCCGGUGGCCGCGCCGCCGAGGGCCCCUUGCGUAGCGUGGUGGAAGAAGACCUUCUCGUUUCUGCGCGCCAACGCCAGAGAGUCUCUCACCUUCCGCUUCGUCUUCGUCGCCGACAAGCUGCAGCUCAGGCUUGAAUUCGGUGUCGACAGCCAGAAGAUACGCUUCCCGGCGAGCAAGACACUUGGUCAGGUGAAAUUCAGCAUGCUUGGUGGAAGCCCUGUUGGUAAAAUACCUGCAUAA